UAUCUGACUGUAUGCAGAACGUUCCGCCGAGCGCGUGCUCUGAGCACAUGGAAAGGGGGUCGAGAUUUAGCGGCUAUAUGAAGUGCAAGAAUACAGCAAUAACUUAACCCUCAAAAAAGGAAUAUACUUUACCAUCACGCAUGACAAAGGAACAUGGGGUGCUGGUGACUGAGGCAGCAGCCACAACAGCCUAUUGCUCCACGGCUGUCAGUAUCAGCUCUUCAAGUCGUCAGCACAGCGGUCCACGCAGUCCAGAGAGAGCAGAGAAGAGUGAUCCAUCGCAAACAGGGAUUAUGGAGCACCACACACAGAGAACCAGCAGUUGCAGCACUAUACCACCGUUGGGAACAUUUGAGCAACAUUAAGGGAACAUUAUCAUAUCGGCAUCACUGUGAGAGCAGCAAGCGAAUAGUGGAGGGUGAUUUGAAGACAGAGGUGAGUUGGUGGAUACCUGAAUUCCUCCUACAUGAGUUUCAGCAGGUGUGAGGCCGACGGUCAUCUUCUAACAGCUGAAGAGAGUGUGAGCGAGCGUGGGCCCAAAAGGAGGACAAAGAGAGCUGUCACCCAUCCACAGCUACUGUGUGACCUGCUAUUCUGUUAUUGUUGCAUGCGAAAUGUGCAUGCACAAAGGCCAUAAAGGCCAAAUUACCCAUUUAUUGGCCAAUUGUUCCGUUCUCAUAAAGCUAAUGUAACUAGCAAUUAUAGGAGUGUGUUUCAUGACGUGGAAUAUUAAACAGAAUUAACUAUCCCAAUAAAAGUCAAUACCUGUCAUACCUGUUUUUUUUUUCAGAUUCAUCUGAGGGCAUGGGAAAUUCAGAUUUUUAAAUGUAUAAUUCACUCAUUUAUUGAUUAAUUAUAAUUGUACAUGCUGUACAUUUGCAUUUUAUAUUUGCUGUUUAUAAGAUAUAUGAAUCUUUCUAUUUAUAAUGAUAAGUUAUAUAUUCUCUCUGAGCUGUACAUUCACAUUGAAAGGCGUUUUAUGAACAGUAGCCUACAAU